UAACAAAUAUUCACAUCACUUUCUAUAUAUUGUUAUCUAUCUCUCACUCCAUUUUCUUCAAAUAACAACCACACAAUAUGAAGAUACUUCCCUAUUUUCUUCUUGUCAUUUUUCUACUUAAAAUAACAAUUUCUGUUGAGUCCCAAACUCCAGCACUCUUAAAAUAUGUACUUCAAUGACCACCUACUUUUUGUUUUCAACUUAAUUCCAAAGAAGCAAAAUUUUGCAAAGAACCAAUUCCUCAAAAUAAAUUCACACUCCAUGGUGUUAUGCAAGCAAAUGAAGAUGGAUUUAACAUAAAAUGUGACUAUAACAAAGAUCCAAAUGAUUUGGAUAAUGUGUUGUAAGAAGUGGAAAGUGAUCUAGUAAAGUUCUGGCCCUCGCUUAGAGAAGAGUUAUGGAAGCAUGAGUGGCGCGUCCAUGGAUCAUGUGGAGGAACAACACCUCAAGAGUACUUCUACAAAGCAAUAAUGAUGAAUCACACACCUGAAAAAGGAAACUUGUAUAAUUACUUGGAAUCAAGUGAGAUUAUUGCAAGUGAUGACUUGGCUUAUACAAAACAACAUAUUGUUGAGGCUAUACAAAAGUUGGUUUUAUGAAGUUCCUUUUGUAGAUCAUAAACCACAUUAUAAUGUUUACCUCUCUUGUGUUCCAAUUGAUUCAUAUAACAAUACUCAUGUUUACUUGAGUGAGUUUGCUUGGUGCACUGAACUUGAAGGUGUUCAAUACAUUUCAUGUCCAUCAAAACCUAAUCCAACAAGUUGCCCUAAUGAA